rnacentral:rRNA from 1 species
GAUUAGAUACCUUGUAGUCCCGCGUAACGAUGAGUGCUAGUGUUAGGGGUUUCGCCCUUAGUGCUGCAGCUACGCAUUAGCACUCGCUGGGAGUACGACCGCAAGGUGAACUCAAAGGAAUGACGGGACCCGCACAGCGGUGGAGCAUGUGGUUUAUUCGAAGCAACGCGAAGAACUUACCAAAUCUUGACAUCCUCUGACCCCUCUAGAGAUAGAGUUUUCCCCUUCGGGAGACAGAGUGACAGGUGGUGCAUGGUUGUCGUCAGCUCGUGUCGUGAGAUGUUGGGUUAAGUCCCGCAACGAGCGCACCCUUAAGCUUAGUUGCCAUCAUUAAGUUGGGCACUCUAAGUUGACUGCCGGUGACAAACCGGAGGAAGGUGGGGAUGACGUCAAAUCAUCAUGCCCCUUAUGAUUUGGGCUACACACGUGCUACAAUGGACAAUACAAAGGGUAGCGAAACCGCGAGGUCAAGCAAAUCCCAUAAAGUUGUUCUCAGUUCGGAUUGUAGUUUGCAACUCGACUAUAUGAAGCUGGAAUCGCUAGUAAUCGUAGAUCAGCAUGCUACGGUGAAUACGUUCCCGGGUCUUGUACACACCGCCCGUCACACCACGAGAGUUUGUAACACCCGAAGCCGGUGGUUAACCAUUUGGAGCUAGCCGUCGAAGGUGGGACAAAUGAUU